ACGGGAGCUUCCAACAGAUGUGGAGGACCAACCAAUAGGAACCGUCUCCCUAGCCAACCAGGGAUGGGGUUAGACUCAGGAAGGGAAAGAGGAAGUUAGACUGUUCUGUAGUUAGCCUGCGGUCGUGGUCCGGUAAAAACUGUUUCUGCUUGCUCAUGAGAUAAGCACAGAAUUUCCGAGUAAAUACCUAGAAAUUGUGACCACAGUUUUCCACCAGGCCCAAGGCACGAUCAUUUUUCUAGAGGUUCGUUUUGAUUAACAUUUCACAAAGCAGUGACCCACGACGGAUGGGGUCUUUCAAAGCGGUCCUUCACCAUCAAGAGCUUGAGAUGCACACCCCGCAGCUGCUCAGUGUGGCAUCUUGUGGCACAUCUGUGGUGUCGGAGAGACACCCCCCCCCCCUUUUCAUCGUUUGGGACUAUGACUCUGCAGGAAGAGUCUCGGAAGAAUGGGGGGGGGGGAUCCAGAUGUCCCCAGGAAGACAGGGCUGGGAAAGGCUGAGGAGAAAACGAUGGGAUGGCAUGCUCCUGGAACGUCUCUCUCCCUGCAGACAACCUCUGCAUCCCACAUGGCAUCUGCCUUCAGCCCCCUGCUGUGCUGAUGUCCUGUACAUUGAGCUCCUGCGGUAGACUGAGUCUGCCCCUAGCUGCUCGGAGGCAAACCAAACGGAGACCUUUUUGUUACGUGCUUCCUCAGAUGAACUCAUUUGCUUUUCCCUGUGGCCUUGUGAGAUGCGCUCUGUUUUUAAUCUUCAAUCUUAAGACAAGACGGCGUUUCAAAAUCAGCCUGUAAGUGGCGGAAGUGGAAGCUGCCUUCCAGACGGCCCAUUCCAGGCCUGGGAUCCAAACCAGCUUUUGACAUCAUGGCCCUGCCUUCCAGGGGCUUAAAACCUGGUUGGGUUGGUGAGACCCUGAGUCUUAGCAGUCUGGGAGUCCCGACUGUACACCCAGGAGCUUGGAGAAAGGAAGACGUCUUGGGGCUAGGAAGGCAGCCAUCUUGGGCCUGUCCCUCACAGGCCUACUCAUUCAGUGUUCUUAUUCCUUCCCUCUAUGAUCCUGGCUCCACUCCCUCCUCCCUGGAGCCCCAGAGGGGUGUCUCUGGCUUCAUCCUCAUGGGCUCCGCACACAGCUGUGAGGGUGCCGUGUAUGUGCUUGGGAGAGUAACGGGAACCGACAGUGGCGGGGGCCACAUUCUCCAGCCCUCUUCCCACAGAGGCAUCCAGAGCCUCUCUGCGGUGCCAAAAUAAACUUGCAUCGUUUCCAAAUG